rnacentral:misc_RNA from 1 species
GAUGAAGAACGCAGCGAAAUGCGAUAAGUAGUGUGAAUUGCAGAAUUCAGUGAAUCAUCGAAUCUUUGAACGCACAUUGCGCCCCUUGGUAUCCCGAGGGGCAUGCCUGUUCGAGCAUCAUUUCACCACUCAAGCCUGGCUUGGUGUUGGGCGACGUCCUCUUUGGGGACGCGCCUCGAAACGCUCGGCGGCGUGGCACCGGCUUUAAGCGUAGCAGAAUCUUUCGCUUUGGAAGUCGGGGCCCCGUCUGCCGGAAGACCUGCUCGCAAGGUUGACCUCGGAUCAGGCAGGGAUACCCGCUGAACUUAAGCAUAUCAAUAAGCGGAGGA